UACGGAGGGUGCAAGCGUUGUCCGGAAUUAUUGGGCGUAAAGAGCUCGUAGGCGGUUUGUCGCGUCUGCUGUGAAAACUCGGGGCUUAACUCCGGGCCUGCAGUGGGUACGGGCAGACUAGAGUGCGGUAGGGGAGACUGGAAUUCCUGGUGUAGCGGUGAAAUGCGCAGAUAUCAGGAGGAACACCGGUGGCGAAGGCGGCUACCUGGACAAUUGCUGACGCUCAGGCACGAAAGCGUGGGGAGCAAAAGGG
rnacentral:rRNA from 1 species